CCCUCAAAAGGGAAAAAAUCCUUCUUCUAACUGCAAGUCUUGCAAAUCAAGUGUUCUGGGAUCUGAAAAAUCAACCGGUUCUCUUUCUGCCACUUCUAUCAUCUCGUGUCAUAACACAGGCUGUACCAUCAUCAGCAUUUAGCUAACAAUUCUGUGUUUAGUAAAAUAAGCUGAUGUUAAUGACUGGAAGAUGCAUACGGAACAGAUAUAUUAAACCAAUAUGAGGCAUUUUUAUAUAACCACUUUGCUGAUUAAAACUGCUCUUUAAAUCAUGUUUGCAGGGUUGUUGUAGCUGUGUUGAUUCAAAGAUAUGAGAAAGACUAGGUGGACGAGGUCAUAUCUUGCUGUGACACUCUCAUACCUUUCCCAGACCUGAAGAGGAGCACCGUGGAGCUCAGAAGCUUGUCUAUUUCACCUACAGAAGUUGGCCUAGUAAAAGAUAUUACCUCACCCAUGGGUACUAUGGGUUUGAUUCUGCAAGAUGUCGAGCACUCUGGCCCAGGUCCAGCAAAACAUUUAAGGAUGUGUUUAAGCAUAUGAGUCUGGUAGGUGCAUGGCUAUGGAAAUUAGAUGAUGUAAUGUUAAUACAGAAAUAACGAUGCUAUUUCCUGGGUUAGAAUUCUGAACAUGCUCCGUGCCAACGAGGUAUUUCCAGAAGCCUGAGGAGACUGAAGAUGAGCUGAGCCCUCAUGCCAUUAAUAAAAACGCUGUCUUCUCUCCAAGCAGCCUGACUCCUGAGUUCUUACUAAAUAUUACAUGGCAUCAGAAGUUGCACUGAAUCAAGGAUGGAGCAACUGCUUCCCCUAUGGACCAGACAAUACCAAGGUCUCAAUGUCAGGCGGAAGGUAAAUGAGCCCCAGAACAUCUGAAAGGUUGCUAAUGAUGAUGACUACCCUGUCAAAUCUUUGUAUGGGGGAUCUGCACAUCCUGUUUACGUGCUCACACUCAGAAGAGCACAGGCUGAUUGCGUUGUCUAAAUUCAGUGAUACUUGGCUUUUUGCUCUUCCCUUGUCUAACCCACUGGUGAGUGGGUGCUACAGGUUCCCGUCUGUGCUGAUCUGCAGAAGACAAGAGUUUUUGCAGCCACAAGCUGAAGGAGGUAUGGCUAGUUAACUCAAGCUUUUGUAGCUCAUGGGUUAGGACCCAUUUCCCUUGACCUCAGCUGAUC
rnacentral:lncRNA from 1 species